UUUCUUUCCCUUCUCCUGCCAGAGACACAAGGAGAUUUUUCUUGGUUCCUCACCAUGAAAACUGACGGGGCUUCAUGGAGAUAAAACCCGUGAAAGUGUGGGUGCUCCCUCAAGACUGUGGCACCCAGAAGGUUCUCACUCUCCUGCUGGUCUACAUUCAGCCUCAGCAAUUUGUCAAAAUUGCCUUUUAAGUGUCCCUGCCGCUUUAUGAUUCCAGUGCCUUCUGUUUCAGGAGGCAUUUGCUUACAUUUCAGGGUAAUAAACUUGGAGACACCUUUUCUUUCACCCAAAGGAGUUUGCUACGCUCCAGGAUGAUGAGAAAUAUCUCCUUCAGUAGGCAUGGAUAAGCACAUAUGCCAGGAGCCUCUUGAAGUUUCCUAAAGUUGGGGUUUCUCUCCUGUGCUUUAUGCCACUGCACAUGCAGGUCCUGGGCACAUUGGCAAAAAAUCAAUUUCCCAAACUAUGUGAGAGACACACUCCUCCCCAGACCCCGCCAGUGCUCCGAUAGCUAGUUCCCUUCCUGUCUUCUCCCUCUAGGAGUAGUGGGAUUGGAGCUGCGGUUGGUGUGGAGCAAACGUGGUUUCCUUAGGCAAGCAGCUAGGCUGAAGAUGAUCGCUGGAGUGUGGGAGGCUUGGCCUCAGCAGAAGCCCACUCCCACCCUCCCCGCCCACGGCCUCCUUUGAGAGGCAGACAUCCAUCCCUCCAGUCCCACAAAGUGCUGCAGGAGGAAUAUAAAGGUGUGGGCAACACCUGAGACACUGGCUUCUUCCUACGGUGCACGGCCCCAGCCGCAUUCAUCAGCUUAGACUCAGAGAGCAGUGCUCCAGCCUGUGUUGCAGUGUUCUCAGCAUCUUGAUUCUCUGAUCCUGGCUUCCUAAUCACUGGAUCACACCUCAGGACUAAUGCUGCAAUAAACACACUUAUGCAUACGUGUCUUUAUGUUUGAGCAUGUCUCUGGAGAAUUAGAAGUAUUGAAAAUUGUGAACAGAAGUUAUUCCGGACCAUCUCUUCAUUGCUUUUCAAAUUGGGGUCAGUGAUCCAACUAUCUUUUUCAGAAUUUCCUGAGGUAAGUGCCAAUUAAAAAUGAAGGUGUCUGAGUCCCAUCCUAUUCCUAUUAAAUGAGUAUCUGGGUAUUGGGAUAAUACUUUGAGUCUGUAUAUUUAACAAACUCUCUAAGCGGUCCCAAUGCACUCUGAGGUUCAAAAGCUGUGCAUCUAGUCCAAUUGUUUACUGGAUCUGUCUCAUGGUCUUUGUCUGAGGACUUCCAAUGGUGUGGAACUCUGAACUUCUGAAGGCAGUCCAUUUGGAUUUUUUUUCAAAUGAGAGUGUACUUAUGUACAAUAAAAUGCACAUUUCUUUAGUGUUCAGUUUGUUCAGUUUUGACAGUCAUAUACAUCCAUGUAACCAUCACCAUCAUUGUAGAGAGGAGAGCGGUUCUGGAGAGGUUUCGUUCUUAGUUCCAGUAGAAUUCUGAGUGACAGGGUUUAUGCAAUUGAUCUUUUCUGCACUGAUCUCUUAGAGCCAGAGUCCCUUUCUUGCAACUUCCCUAACACAUGGGUUUAAGGAGGAGUCAUUAUUUCUGUUUGACAUGAAACUUGACAGUAGU